UCCUCCUUAGCUCAGUUGGUAGAGCGCGACACUAGUAUUACGAAAUGAUCACGUAGGAAACAUGUCGAGGUCAGUCGUUCGAGUCGGCUAGGAGGAA